GUUGAUCACCAGCAUUACGCUUUCAAUUUUUAAGUUCUAUUCUGAACUUAAAAAUUGAAAGCGUAAUGCUGGUGAUCAAC